rnacentral:rRNA from 1 species
GACGAACGCUGGCGGCGUGCCUAAUACAUGCAAGUCGAGCGGAACUGGGGGAGCUUGCUCCUUCCAGUUUAGCGGCGGACGGGUGAGUAACACGUGGGCAACCUGCCCUGCAGAUCGGGAUAACUCCGGGAAACCGGUGCUAAUACCGAAUAGUUUGGCGCCUCUCCUGAGGCGCUACGGAAAGACGGUUUCGGCUGUCACUGCAGGAUGGGCCCGCGGCGCAUUAGCUAGUUGGGGGGGUAACGGCCCACCAAGGCGACGAUGCGUAGCCGACUUGAGAGGGGGACCGGCCACACUGGGACUGAGACACGGCCCAGACUCCUACGGGAGGCAGCAGUAGGGAAUCUUCCGCAAUGGACGCAAGUCUGACGGAGCAACGCCGCGUGAGUGACGAAGGUUUUCGGAUCGUAAAACUCUGUUGUGAGGGAAGAACACGUACCAACUAACUAUUGGUACCUUGACGGUACCUCACCAGAAAGCCACGGCUAACUACGUGCCAGCAGCCGCGGUAA